CAGUAGCCGCGGGAAUACGUAGGGGGCAAGCGUUGUCCGGAAUUAUUGGGCGUAAAGCGCGCGCAGGCGGUUUUCUAAGUCUGGUGUCUAAGUGCGGGGCUCAACCCCGUGACGCACUGGAAACUGGGAGACUUGAGUGCAGAAGAGGAGAGCGGAAUUCCACGUGUAGCGGUGAAAUGCGUAGAGAUGUGGAGGAACACCAGUGGCGAAGGCGGCUCUCUGGACUGUAACUGACGCUGAGGCGCGGAAGCGUGGGGAGCAAACAGGAUUAGAUACCCCCGUAGUCCCUGUCUCUUAUACC
rnacentral:rRNA from 1 species